CCUACGGGAUGCUGCAGUGGGGAAUAUUGGACAAUGGGCGAAAGCCUGAUCCAGCCAUGCCGCGUGUGUGAAGAAGGCCUUCGGGUUGUAAAGCACUUUCAGUGGGGAAGAAAGCCUUGGGGCUAAUACCCUCGAGGAAGGACAUCACCCACAGAAGAAGCACCGGCUAACUCCGUGCCAGCAGCCGCGGUAAUACGGAGGGUGCGAGCGUUAAUCGGAAUUACUGGGCGUAAAGCGCGCGUAGGCGGUCUGAUAAGCCGGUUGUGAAAGCCCCGGGCUCAACCUGGGAACGGCAUCCGGAACUGUCAGGCUAGAGUGCAGGAGAGGAAGGUAGAAUUCCCGGUGUAGCGGUGAAAUGCGUAGAGAUCGGGAGGAAUACCAGUGGCGAAGGCGGCCUUCUGGACUGACACUGACGCUGAGGUGCGAAAGCGUGGGUAGCAAACAGGAUUAGAUACCCCGGUAGUC
rnacentral:rRNA from 1 species